UACGGAGGGUGCAAGCGUUAUCCGGAUUCACUGGGUUUAAAGGGUGCGUAGGUGGGCAGGUAAGUCAGUGGUGAAAUCUCCGGGCUUAACCCGGAACUGCCGUUGAUACUAUCUGUCUUGAAUAUCCUGGAGGUGAGCGGAAUAUGUCAUGUAGCGGUGAAAUGCUUAGAUAUGACAUAGAACACCAAAUUGCGAAGGCAGCUCACUACGGGAUCAUUGACACUGAGGCACGAAAGCGUGGGGAUCAAACAGG
rnacentral:rRNA from 1 species